rnacentral:rRNA from 1 species
AGAGUUUGAUCCUGGCUCAGAACGAACGUUGGCGGCGUGGAUUAGGCAUGCAAGUCGAACGCGAAAGAGGUAGCAAUACCUCGAGUAAAGUGGCGAACGGGUGAGUAACGCGUAGGAAACCUGCCUUCGAGUGGGGGAUAACAUCCCUAACGGGAUGCUAAUACCGCAUGUGACUGCGACAUCGCAUGGUGUUGCAAUCAAAGGUGGCCUCUGUUUACAAGCUACCGCUCAAAGAUGGUCCUGCGUCCCAUUAGCUAGUUGGCGGGGUAACGGCCCACCAAGGCGACGAUGGGUAGCCGAUCUGAGAGGAUGACCGGCCACACUGGGACUGAGAUACGGCCCAGACUCCUACGGGAGGCAGCAGUCGAGAGGCUUCGGCAAUGGGGGAAACCCUGACCGAGCGACGCCGCGUGGGGGAUGAAGGCCUUUGGGUUGUAAACCCCUGUCAUGAGGGAAGAAACGUCACCGUCCGAAUAGAGCGGUGAUUGACAGUACCCGAGUGAGUUCCAG